AGAAGGGAGCUUGCUCCCUGAUGUUAGCGGCGGACGGGUGAGUAACACGUGGGUAACCUGCCUGUAAGACUGGGAUAACUCCGGGAAACCGGAGCUAAUACCGGAUAGUUCCUUGAACCGCAUGGUUCAAGGAUGAAAGACGGUUUCGGCUGUCACUUACAGAUGGACCCGCGGCGCAUUAGCUAGUUGGUGGGGUAAUGGCUCACCAAGGCGACGAUGCGUAGCCGACCUGAGAGGGUGAUCGGCCACACUGGGACUGAGACACGGCCCAGACUCCUACGGGAGGCAGCAGUAGGGAAUCUUCCGCAAUGGACGAAAGUCUGACGGAGCAACGCCGCGUGAGUGAUGAAGGUUUUCGGAUCGUAAAGCUCUGUUGUUAGGGAAGAACAAGUGCGAGAGUAACUGCUCGCACCUUGACGGUACCUAACCAGAAAGCCACGGCUAACUACGUGCCAGCAGCCGCGGUAAUACGUAGGUGGCAAGCGUUGUCCGGAAUUAUUGGGCGUAAAGGGCUCGCAGGCGGUUUCUUAAGUCUGAUGUGAAAGCCCCCGGCUCAACCGGGGAGGGUCAUUGGAAACUGGGAAACUUGAGUGCAGAAGAGGAGAGUGGAAUUCCACGUGUAGCGGUGAAAUGCGUAAAGAUGUGGAGGAACACCAGUGGCGAAG
rnacentral:rRNA from 1 species